GAUCCUGGCUCAGGAUGAACGCUAGCGACAGGCUUAACACAUGCAAGUCGAGGGGCAGCACAGGUAGCAAUACCGGGUGGCGACCGGCGCACGGGUGAGUAACGCGUAUGCAACUUACCUAUCAGAGGGGGAUAACCCGGCGAAAGUCGGACUAAUACCGCAUGAAGCAGGGGCCCCGCAUGGGGAUAUUUGCUAAAGAUUCAUCGCUGAUAGAUAGGCAUGCGUUCCAUUAGGCAG
rnacentral:rRNA from 1 species